rnacentral:tRNA from 1 species
AAGGGCAUAAUUCAGUGGUAGAGUGCAUGCUUAGCAUGCAUGAGGCCCUGGGUUCAAUUCCCAGCACUUA